UUAAAAGGUAAGCUAAAAAAGCUGAUAGGCUCAUACCCUAUCUAUGGUCUAACCCCUUUUUAU
rnacentral:tRNA from 1 species